UUCUGCCCUAUGAAAUUUUAAAUGGCUGCAGUAUAUUGACUGUGCAAAGGUAGCAUAAUAAUUAGUCAAUUAAUUGUUGACUUGUAUGAAUGAUUAAAUGAGGUAUAAUUUUUAUUAAUUUUAAUAUUAAAAUUUUAUUUUUAAGUAAAAAAGCUUAUUUUUUUUUUAGGGACGAUAAGACCCUAUAGAACUUAAUUACUUUUUAAUUUAUAAUUUGUUUUGUCUUUUUUAUUUGUAAUUUAUUUAUUUUUUUUGUUGGGGUGACAAGUAAAAUUAACUUUACUUUGCUAUUUCAUUAAUUUAUGAUUUAUUUGAUCCAUUUUUUAGAUUAUAAGUAAAAGUUACCUUAGGGAUAACAGCGUAAUUUUGAUGGGGAGUUCAUAUUUAUAUCAAAGUUUGCGACCUCGAUGUUGAAUUAAGAUUAGUUUAGGGGGCAG
rnacentral:rRNA from 1 species